rnacentral:misc_RNA from 1 species
UGUAAUGGCAUAUGUGGUUUCCCACAU